CGAGGGUGCGAGCGUUGUUCGGAAUUAUUGGGCGUAAAGGGCAUGUAGGCGGUAGCGUAUGUCAGGUGUGAAAUCCCUCGGCUCAACCGAGGAAGUGCAUUUGAAACUACGCUACUAGAGUACGGGAGAGGAAGGCGGAAUUCCCAGUGUAGAGGUGAAAUUCGUAGAUAUUGGGAGGAACACCGGUGGCGAAAGCGGCCUUCUGGCUCGAUACUGACGCUGAGAUGCGAAAGCGUGGGGAGCAAACAGGAUUAGAUACCCGAGUAGUCC
rnacentral:rRNA from 1 species